AUUGAACGCUGGCGGCAUGCCUUACACAUGCAAGUCGAACGGUAACAGGUCUUCGGAUGCUGACGAGUGGCGAACGGGUGAGUAAUACAUCGGAACGUGCCCGAUCGUGGGGGAUAACGAAGCGAAAGCUUUGCUAAUACCGCAUAAGAUCUACGGAUGAAAGCAGGGGACCGCCAGGCCUUGCGCGAACGUAGCGGCCGAUGGCAGAUUAGGUAGUUGGUGGGAUAAAAGCUUACCAAGCCGACGAUCUGUAGCUGGUUUGAGAGGAUGAUCAGCGACACUGGAACUGGGACACGGUCCAGACUCCUACGGGAGGCAGCAGUGGGGAAUAUUGGACAAUGGGCGCAAGCCUGAUCCAGCCAUGCCGCGUGUGUGAAGAAGGCCUUCGGGUUGUAAAGCACUUUCAGUAGGGAGGAAGCGUUGUGUGUUAAUAGUACACAGCGUUGACGUUACCUACAGAAGAAGCACCGGCUAACUCUGUGCCAGCCGCCGCCGUAAGAC
rnacentral:rRNA from 1 species